rnacentral:rRNA from 1 species
UACGUAGGGUGCGAGCGUUAAUCGGAAUUACUGGGCGUAAAGUGUGCGCAGGCGGCAAAGCAAGUCGAGUGUGAAAGCCCCCGGGCUUAACUUGGGGAAUUGCACUCGAAACUACUUUGCUGGAGUGUGGCAGAGGAAGGUGGAAUUCCACGUGUAGCGGUGGAAAUGCGUAGAGAUGUGGAGGAACACCAAUGGCGAAAGGCG